rnacentral:rRNA from 1 species
UUAAUCGGAAUUACGGGGCGUAAAGCGUGCCCAGGUGGUUUGUUAAGUCAGAUGUGAAAGCCCCGAGCUUAACUUGGGAACUGCGUUUGAAACUGGCAAGCUAGAGUCUGUCAGAGGGGGGUAGAAUUCCACGUGUAGCAGUGAAAUGCGUAGAGAUGUGGAGGAAUACCAAUGGCGAAGGCAGCCCCCUGGGAUAAGACUGACGCUCAUGCACGAAAGCGUGGGGAGCAAACAGGAUUAGAUACCCUGGUAGCCCACGCCCUAAACGAUGUCAACUGGUUGUUGGGCAACUUGAUUGUUCAGUAACGAAGCUAACGCGAGAAGUUGACCGCCUGGGGAGUACGGUCGCAAGAUUAAAACUCAAAGGAAUUGACGGGGACCCGCACAAGCGGUGGAUGAUGUGGAUUAAUUCGAUGCAACGCGAAAAACCUUACCUACCCUUGACAUGUACGGAAGUCUGCUGAGAGGUGGAUGUGCCUGAAAGGGAACCGUAACACAGGUGCUGCAUGGCUGUCGUCAGCUCGUGUCGUGAGAUGUUGGGUUAAGUCCCGCAACGAGCGCAACCCUUGCUAUUAAUUGCCAUCAUUAAGUUGGGCACUUUAAUAGGACUGCUGGUGAUAAGCCGGAGGAAGGUGGGGAUGACGUCAAGUCCUCAUGACCCUUAUGGGUAGGGCUUCACACGUCAUACAAUGGCCGGUACAGAGGGAUGCCAGCCCGCGAGGGGGAGCCAAUCUCAGAAAGCCGGUCGUAGUCCGGAUUGUUCUCUGCAACUCGAGAGCAUGAAGUCGGAAUCGCUAGUAAGCACGGAUCAGCAUGUCGCG